rnacentral:rRNA from 1 species
UACGUAGGGUGCGAGCGUUAAUCGGAAUUACUGGGCGUAAAGCGUGCGCAGGCGGUCCGCAAAGUCUGAUGUGAAAGCCCACGGCUCAACCGUGGAGGGUCAUUGGAAACUGGGGGACUUGAGUGCAGGAGAGAAGAGUGGAAUUCCCGGUGUAGCAGUGAAAUGCGUAGAGAUCGGGAGGAACAUCAGUUGCGAAGGCGGCUCUCUGGACCAGCACUGACACUGAGGCACGAAAGCGUGGGGAGCAAACAGG